ACAUGCUUCAAAUCAUUUUCAAAAGGGAUCUCAUCUCGGCACAUCACCACAACUGUACCAGUCUUAUCAAGUCCUCUCCUUCCAGCACGCCCAGCCAUCUGAGUGUACUCUCCGGGAAGUAGCUGCCUAAAUUCCUUGCCAUCAAACUUUCUUAAAGAAUCAAAAACAACCGUCCUGGCUGGAGCAUUAACUCCCAUUGCAAAAGUCUCUGUCGAGAACAGAACCUUAACCAAACCUCGACAAAAAAGCAUUUCUACAACUUCCUUGACAAUUGGGAGGAGCCCUGCAUGAUGCACAGCAAUGCCCCUGUGGAGAAGGCUUUGAAUUCUGACAAUCUGCGGUAAGUUUCUGUCGGAUCCCUUAAGCCGCGAAAAUGCUUUAUCACAGAAUAUCCUAAUUUCACUUUUCUCAGAGCUACUUGUGAGAUCGGUACCAGGGAUGUUAUCAGCUGAUUUGUCACAUCGAUUCUUCGAAAAACAAAAUAUAACCACAGGUAACAGUGAUUUCUUCAAGAGUUUAUUAAUCAGCGUCAACCACAAAGACGCCUCUGAUCUCCUAAACCCCAUAACAUUCUGUCCA
rnacentral:misc_RNA from 1 species